GACGAACGCUGGCGGCGUGCUUAACACAUGCAAGUCGAACGGUGAAGGGAUCAGCUUGCUGGUUCUGGAUGAGUGGCGAACGGGUGAGUAACACGUGAGUAACCUGCCCCCUUCUUCUGGAUAACCGCAUGAAAGUGUGGCUAAUACGGGAUAUUCUGGGUCUGUCGCAUGAUGGGUCUGGGAAAGAUAUUGUUUCGGUGGGGGAUGGGCUCGCGGCCUAUCAGCUUGUUGGUGGGGUGAUGGCCUACCAAGGCGGUGACGGGUAGCCGGCCGGAGAGGGGGGACGGUCACACUGGGACUGAGACACGGCCCAGACUCCUACGGGAGGCAGCAGUGGGGAAUAUUGCACAAUGGGCGCAAGCCUGAUGCAGCGACGCCGCGUGAGGGAUGGAGGCCUUCGGGUUGUAAACCUCUUUCGCCAGUGAAGCAGGCCUGCUCCUUGUGGGUGGGUUGACGGUAGCUGGAUAAGAAGCGCCGGCUAACUACGUG
rnacentral:rRNA from 1 species